rnacentral:lncRNA from 10 species
GUGUGUGUCUUUUUUAAUCAUUAACUUUUGGAAUACACGUAUGACCAUACUGUCAAUGUGACCUGAGGACUCUGUAAGUUCCUUCCAUUUAUUUAGGGUUCAUUUGAAGCAAUUUUGUUCUCCACUCUGUGGUGCUAGCUCCAUCUAACUUUUUGUCUGCCUCAGCAGUGGAGCUUAUCUGGAUUCUGCUCUAAGACAAUCCCAUGAGAUUUUACCAGUGACUAAGGUUCAGUUCUUCCAUUUGUCUUAUCCUUGGCCUUUACCUACUUGGGGUCUGGAGCUGGGGGUCAAUCCUAUGUGAUUUCUAAGAAUUGUUCCUUGACUAUGUCCCUGUGAGUGUUGCUCCAACCCAGGCAUCUUUCCCAAACAGAGUGGGUGCCUUCCUCUCCUUCCAACAUCAUGGCCACAAGACUCCAAUAGCUUCUACCCUAGAGCUUGGCUCCCUUAAGGUGGUCACUGACUGACGCUUGGUUACUGAAUGAGGCAGAUCCAGUUUAAUAUUGUUCCACUGUGGCUAACUAAAUGCUGCAGAAUGCAAUGCCUCCUUUUGAAAUUAUUAAUAUCCUUCCCUAAUUCAGAAAUAUGUAAUUCAAUUCUCUGUUUUUAUUGGUGUUGAAACAAACAGAAAACUCCUCAGGGAUGUAAUUCAAAGGUUUAUAAUUUGUGAGAAGUAUAUAUUUGGCAUCAUGGAUUUCUGAAGUAUAAAAGAGAAGUGCUUGAAAUAAUGCAGAAGAAAAUGAAGAAAUCAGUUAUAAUUCCUCCUUGACUAAUGAAGGGAUUAAUCUUCAUACUUUUUCCAGAAACUGACAUAAAUUCCUCCUUCACUGAAUGAUUUGUUUUGGUCUAAAGAAAGAUAUUAAUAAACAAAAUUUGUAUUUUUACAAAAGAGAAGCACAAAUGAAAAAAAUUGUGGAAGUCAAAACUAUUGCUUAUGAUACAUAACAAAUAUCAGCAACUUUUAGGAAAUUUGUAAUUUUCAAUAAAUAGCCAUAGUAGAUAGUUUUAUAAUUUUAUUAGUCUCUUUUAUUAAUGUUCAUAGUUUGCAGCUAAUCUGGUUAUAUAUUCUUUAAUCCAUAACUCUAAAUUUCAUGUACAUAAGCAAUAGUAUCAAAAGGCAAAAAAUCACACUUAGAAGUAAUCAGGCAGUAAAUCUACAUAAUAAAAAAGAAUGAUUUUGACAAUCAUUAUAAGCUAUAUCUUCUUUGAUUAGAACAUAUAUGUUCACAGUAGACUACUCAUGAAAUUUAUUGCAAAAAGAUAAUUCCGUUGUAUUAGAAUAGAAAUAGAAAGCAGGAGAAAGGGGGCUAAAAGUGCCUGCACCAGUCAAUCAAAAUAAGUGCCCAGAGACACUGCAGAAUUUUUUCAUGCAUUUUUUCUCAGUAAACUAUUUUAAAGAUUAUUUACAAACAUGAAAGUGUUUUCCUUUUAAAUGCCUUAAUUUGUGAAAGAGGAAUUAUGUAAAUUAUUUUACAACAUGAAGUAGUUUCUUUGAAUUAGAAACUUUUGGUUGGAAGAAAUUGAAAAAAGCAUCCAAUUACCUAUUUGAUGCAUCAAUCCCAACUUUGCCUCUCCUGAUCUUUCUGAUUCCUUUCUUCUGAAUAUAUUCCAGCUUGUUUUUAUCUCAAAAUAUGGCACCCAGAACUUAAUCCAAUGCUCCAGGUGCAAAUUGGCAAAUAUAGAGAAGAUAUGGACUCAUCUUCUUCUAUUUUAUUUCCUCCCUUCUUUCCCAUCUUCCUACCAUUCUUCCUUUGGCAAAUACUCACUGAAAGAGCCUCAUCUAUGUCCGGCACUGUAUUAGAGGCUGGAGAUAAAAACGAACAAAAGACAACAUGUCCCUACUUCCUUAGAGCUUAUUGUUUAGUGGAGGAUACUGAGAGGUAUCAAGUAAUCACACAAAUAGAUGUAAAAUUGCACCCAUGACAAGUCCUAAUAAAAAGUAUACAGUCUUAUGAAAACCUGUUAUAGGAAGAUUUGAACUAAUCAGGAGAUCAAAAUGGCUUCUUUCUUGAGCAGAAGCUGAAGGAAAGGUAGACUUGAUAGGUUAAGAAGAGAAAGAAGUGUGUCAGGACAUGUGCAGUGGGAGUCACAGGAGAAAACCUGAUGAAAGUUUGAGGGAUGGAAGGAAGUCCAGUAUGAAUGGAGCAAAGAACCAUGGAGUCUGCAGGAGGUGAGGUGAGCCAGAGAGGUAGAAGGCGCCAGAAUGUGCAGGAUCGUCAAAAUCAUGUUUUAUCAUUAGCCUAACACAACAAAUGGAAAAACUAUUGAGGAACUUUAAAUAGGAAAGAGACAAGUUUUUAAUUUUUAAAUAUUACUAUGAAGAGUGGAUCAGGAUUGAAGAGACACCAGAGCAUAUGCACACAGAUUAGUAAAAAGGCUAUUGCAGGAGCUUGGGUAAGAGAUAAUGGCAGGAUCGUUGGUGGAGCCAGCAGGGAGAGAAUGCAUUUGAUAAAUAUUUAGGAGGGAAAUUGAUAAGACUUGGUAAUGGAUCAGCUAAGGUGGGAGAAGAGUGGACAGGGGUGAGGAAGGAUUGCUGGACUUUUGGUUUCUGUCUCAUGUGACUGGAUAGGUGGUGUGCCAUUCCCUGAGGUGGGAAACAUUGAAGAGGGCCAGAUUUGGAAAGAAAAAUUCUGAGUGCAGGUUUGUAUGAAGAGUCAUUGAAAAGUCCAUGAGAAAAUAUCAAUUAGGAAGUUGGAUUAUGUGUGUGGAGUGCAGAAGAACAUUUAAGGUAGUGAUAUAAAUUUCCGAGUCUUCUCGCAUAUAGAUGGUAAUCCAAAUCACAUGAAAAAAAAAAUGAAAAGAGGAAAGGCCAGAAGACUGAACCAAAAGAAACUCAACAAUUAAUAGUCCUUUGGAAGAGGACACAAAGAAAGGCAGAGAAAGGAGCAGCUAGCAGGACAGGAGGAAAACCUGGAGGAUGCUGGGCCACAGAAGCAAAAGGAAUUGAAUGUUUCUAUUAGGAAAGGGGGCUUGUAGUUAAAUAUUGCUGAGAAGUCAAGGAUAGAAAGCAUCUUUCUAGUUGAUCCAUGUAAAUUUACUGCCAACUAAAAUCCUUAAACAUAUUUCAGAAGUAAACAAACAACUUCAAGAUCUUAAUGGCUUGAUAGAAUCAAGACUUAUUCUUGCUCACAUCCCAGUCUGAUGAGAUUUAAGUUGUUCACUUCAAAGAGGUGACUGAGGAAUCACACUGCUUUAAACUUGUGGCUUCACCAUCUCACCACUUCACAGUCUCCUGGUAUCAUCCUGCUGCGAGCAUUUAUAAUCUCCAUAUAUCCCUGCUCUGCCUUUGUGUAGUCGAAGUCUGGAGCCCAGGUAAAGGAUCUGGAAUAUACAACCAAUAGGUCUCUCAGUGUUAGAUUCAGCUGAUCCAUUUCAGCCUACAAGACCUUUGCUCUGCUUGCUAGCUGAAGUGACAAGCAGAUCAAGUGAAAAUAGGCUUGGCUGAGUUUGAGAUGUCAUUCUCACCAGUGCUUACACAUGGACCUACCUUUGUAGUCUGGCAUAGUGAAGGGUUCUAGCUUCAAGCCAAUUAUAAUUCAAAUAAUCUAGCUCACUCUUUUUGCUUUUGUCAUAUAUUUCUUGACUUCCUAUAAAUUGAUUCCACACAUACAAAAUUUAUGUCAGUUGAAAUAAGAAGACUGCUCCACCUUUAUCAUUCUCAUUAUAAAUUAAUAAUAUUGGUAAUCUGAUCUAAACAUUACACUUAUCAGUAGGAUUAUACUUAGUCUGUCUUUGGGAGACCUAUACUUUCAGACGUGCCAGCCAUCUGGUGUUUCUGGACAUAAGAGCUGACGAUCAGGCCAAGGCCCCUGUAAGGGGCUGUUAAGUGUCCAGCUGACCUCCCCAAAGGCUAUCCUUGUUCUUUAACUACAAUGCUUUCCAAUCAUUGUCUCUCUAUCAGUCUACUUGACACUGUUGGCAAAUGUUUUCUUGAAGUUUGGACAUACCAUGUCUACUAAAUUCCUGUAAUCUAAGAGUUUGUGACAUAUACAUUUAGAGCAGCUAAAUGCUUCCUUACAACCUUUUUAUUCUUCUUUGGCCUCAACUGCCUUUUUCUAAUCUGUCUACUCUUUGCUCACAUUUCCCAAGAGCCUUGUGGUUAGGCGAGGCCAAUUGACUAUUUUCAUCCAAUGAAACAUGAGUGGAAGUGAAAUGUGAGACUUCUGUGCUAAGGCAUUUUUUAAGAAUUGAUAUGCCACUUUCAUGUCCUCUCUUCUGCCAAAAAAAAAAAAAAUACCUGAGGUACAGACCCACCUUGGACAUGUAAUGUUAUUGUGUCAUUUUAUUGCCAUAGUUUAGCCAAGCCUAUCCUGACUGGUAAUACUGUUGCUUGGAAAGUUUCUCUCCCAAGGUAACAGUUUUCUCACACUACAUAACAUAAAAACUUGAAAUAGUCUACAUUUUUU